rnacentral:rRNA from 1 species
CGGACGGGUGAGUAAUACGUGGAUAACCUACCUAUAAGACUGGGAUAACUUCGGGAAACCGGAGCUAAUACCGGAUAAUAUAUUGAACCGCAUGGUUCAAUAGUGAAAGACGGUUUUGCUGUCACUUAUAGAUGGAUCCGCGCCGCAUUAGCUAGUUGGUAAGGUAACGGCUUACCAAGGCAACGAUGCGUAGCCGACCUGAGAGGGUGAUCGGCCACACUGGAACUGAGACACGGUCCAG